UACGUAGGGUGCGAGCGUUGUCCGGAAUUAUUGGGCGUAAAGAGCUCGUAGGCGGUGUGUCACGUCGGCCGUGAAAACCUGCAGCUUAACUGUGGGCGUGCGGUCGAUACGGGCAUCACUGGAGUUCGGUAGGGGAGACUGGAAUUCCUGGUGUAGCGGUGGAAUGCGCAGAUAUCAGGAGGAACACCGGUGGCGAAGGCGGGUCUCUGGGCAGUAACUGACGCUGAGGAGCGAAAGCGUGGGGAGCGAACAGG
rnacentral:rRNA from 1 species